AUGAAAUGUAACAACUAUUUUAUUUUUAGUGUUGGCAUUACUGCAUUGUGUCAUUUUGCUUUUCUUACACAGAUCGUCCCAUGCAAUGUGAGGUUGAAAUUCAACAAGCUGACAAGAGACAAUGUGACAUUUGAGGCUCCUGGGGGGGCGUACACUAUGGAGGUCGAGAAAGGAUACAAUAUGUCGCAGAUUGGAGGAGAUGGAUGGGCCCGUUUCCUCGCUCGCAUGCGUCUUACUGGUGGUGAGUUGAUCAGAUUCUCCUUCAGAGCAGAAAGACCCAAGCUGGUUGUCAUUUAUAUCAACCUGGUGGAAGAUGAUGAAGAUGACGAAGAUGAUGAAGAUAAUGAGGACCCACUCAAUGAAGAUGAUGAGAACCCACUUCAUGAAGCCAUCAUAGCUCAAAGAAUGAGGCUGAGCGAGGAGGAGGUGUGCAACCUAUGGGACAUAAUUUCGCCACGUGAUGACUUUGUCGGGGUGCCAUUCGUGACCCGCCUGACAAGUACCAUGGUCGAUCGGCAUGAAAUGGUAUGUUAUAUGUACUGCAUGUAG
rnacentral:rRNA from 1 species